GCCUGGGUGGUGAAAUUGGUAUACACGGCAGACUUAAAAUCUGCUUCCAGCAAUGGAGUGGGGGUUCGAGUCCCCCCCUAGGCA
rnacentral:tRNA from 1 species